CCGGGGACUCGUUCAUACUGUGAAGAUGCAAUGAGAGGCUGGGAUGGCUGCAAGCCUCGGACGGCCCAUUGGUCCCAACUGGCCUCAUACAGAAAGCAAACCUUCAGCCUGAUUAAUACAAGAGGGGGACCAGGAAACCGAAGACAGCAAAACAAGGCAGAGAAGGCCUUGAGUCACAAAAGAAGCUACCUCACCAACGCUCAGGUUCCAAGAGCACCUGGCUCCCAGACUGUUGACGCCCUGGGACAAGGCCUGGU
rnacentral:lncRNA from 1 species